rnacentral:misc_RNA from 1 species
GAAAUGCGAUAAGUAAUGUGAAUUGCAGAAUUCAGUGAAUCAUCGAAUCUUUGAACGCACCUUGCACCCUUUGGUAUUCCGAAGGGUACACCCGUUUGAGUGUCAUUGUAUUCUCACCCCUCACAAUUUUUUGUUGUCGAGGUCGGUGGACUUGGAUGCUUGCUGUGUGAUUCCACGGCUCAUCUCAAAUGAAUGAGUGUGACCCCCCUUUGUACGGUGUCAUCCGGUGUGAUAAGCAUCUUCACUGGAGUGUCUUGGAUGGGCAGUGUCCUUCCAAGAGCAUCGUUGGGGUGUGGUAAUGCUGCCAACCGUCUCUUUACAGGGACAUCUCUUGACAAUUUGACCUCAGAUCGGGUGGGACUACCCGCUGAACUUAA